UUAGUAGCUACCAGUUAAGACUAAUGAACUUCUUUAUCUCAUUUCAGCAGAUGAUCCCAUAUUCUCCUCUUCAGUGAUAGACACCAAGUAAUUGUUGUCAGAAUUCCUGGCAGAGCAAUUGGCACGAAUUUCCCCUUGAUUCCCUGUCAGCACGUCCAAUUGCCCCAUCUUGAUCAUGGAAAGCACGAAUUCUUCAAAGAACAAUGUUUCAUUGAUAGCAAAGCUA
rnacentral:misc_RNA from 1 species